UACGUAGGGUGCGAGCGUUGUCCGGAAUUAUUGGGCGUAAAGGGCUCGUAGGCGGUUUGUCGCGUCGGGUGUGAAAACCUCGGGCUUAACUCGGGGCUUGCUUUCGAUACGGGCAGACUGGAGGUAUGCAGGGGAGAACGGAAUUCCUGGUGUAGCGGUGAAAUGCGCAGAUAUCAGGAGGAACACCGGUGGCGAAGGCGGUUCUCUGGGCAUGACCUGACGCUGAGGAGCGAAAGUGUGGGGAGCGAACAGG
rnacentral:rRNA from 1 species